CGCCGACGCCGUACUAGGGGAACAGGAGGAGGAGGAGGAGGAGGAGGAGGAGGAGAGAGGAGGAAGAGGGGCUCCUUCAGACAGACCCAGAGAACCAAAAGUGGCAGAUUGAGACGAUGUCGGCCCGGCGCCUCGCCAAUUCUCUGCCCCGCACCGGACGCAGACUUCACCCCCGUGGCCUCAGACAACACCAAAGCUCUCCUGAGCUGGAGGUGUACACAUAGCACGGCAGGCCCAGGAUGGCGACAUCCUUGCAGAGGCUCCCAAAGGAGAUGGAGGGAGGUUUGCUCCUCAACACGCUGACCUUCAUGUCCUGCGUGGCCUUUAUCCAGAAUGGAGCCUACGUAGACCAUGUGCAUCUUCAAAAUCUUUGCCACCAAAUGGGCCUUGCCGCAGGCCAGACUGCAGCAGCUGCUGAUCCCGGGGAAACUCACCCUGGACAAAGUGAAGAAUGAGGAUUUGGAGGCUGCGUCAGACUGUCCCCUACAAGUUGCAGAAUCAAGCUGCCCUCAUCCCGUCCCUGCCACCGCCACCCACCAAAUUGGAGGACUUUGGCCAGCCCCAGGAAGAGCGGUCUGUUGGAAGAAGAUAUGGGUCUGUUGGAGGCGUUGGAUCUGUCGGUGAAAGUGGAAGAGAAGGGUCUGUCAGACGAAAGUGAAGGAUCUUAUGGUUUGCCAGCUUACCAAGUGCAGGCUAAAGAAACUGUUCAACUGAAAAAAGAUGCACGUUU